rnacentral:rRNA from 1 species
GCACGGAGUUAGCCGGUGCUUCCUCUGGGGGUACCGUCAGCCCGGGCGGUUGUUCACCGACCGGGGGUUCUUCCCCCCUGACAGAGGUUUACGACCCGAAGGCCUUCAUCCCUCACGCGGCGUCGCUGCGUCAGGCUUUCGCCCAUUGCGCAAGAUUCCUCACUGCUGCCUCCCGUAGGAGUCUGGGCCGUGUCUCAGUCCCAAUGAGGCCGGACACCCUCUCAGGCCGGCUACCCGUCGUCGCCUUGGUGAGCCAUUACCUCACCAACUAGCUGAUAGGCCGCGAGGCCAUCUCGAAGCGGCCGCUUGCAAGCAGAGGCGGUCUUUAACAACUGUCCCCAUGCGGGGCCGCUGCAUCAUGCGGAAUUAGCACCGAUUUCUCGGUGUUAUUCCCCACUCCGAGGCAGGUUCCUCACGUGUUACGCUCCCGUUCGCCACUGUACUAGGGUCCAUCGGCAAGCCGAAUUUCCCGUUCUCGUGCGACUUGCAUGUGUAAGGCACGCCGCCAACGUUCGUC